rnacentral:tRNA from 1 species
GGAGAGAUGGCAGAGUGGUAAUGCAGCGGAUUGCUAAUCCGUGACCGUCUUAAAGCGGUCCCCGGGUUCGAGUCCCGGUCUCUCCGCCA